UGGGGAAUUGUUCACAAUGGGCGCAAGCCUGAUGACGCAACGCCGCGUGGGGGAUGAAGGUCUUCGGAUCGUAAACCCCUGUCGAAUGGGACGAAAGACUCGCGAGUGAAUACUUCGCGAGAGUGACGGUACCGUUAAAGGAAGCCACGGCUAACUCUGUGCCGGCAGCCGCGGUAAUACAGAGGUGGCAAGCGUUGUUCGGAAUUACUGGGCGUAAAGGGCGCGUAGGCGGCCCUCUAAGUCAGACGUGAAAUCCCCCGGCUUAACCUGGGAACUGCGUCUGAUACUGGAGGGCUUGAGUAUGGGAGAGGGAUGUAGAAUUCCAGGUGUAGCGGUGAAAUGCGUAGAUAUCUGGAGGAAUACCGGUGGCGAAGGCGGCAUCCUGGACCAUUACUGACGCUGAGGCGCGAAAGCUAGGGGANCAAACGGGAUUAGAUACCCGAGUAGUCCCUGAGCGGGCUGGCAAGGCGCAU
rnacentral:rRNA from 1 species